rnacentral:rRNA from 1 species
GGGGGGGGGGGGGGGGGGGGGGGGGGGGGGGGGGGGGGGGGGGGGGGGGGGGUGGGGGGGGGGACGGGAGGGGCGGCGGGCGGGUGAGUGGCGCGUGGGGGAUCUGCCGGGGGGGGGGGCGGACAGUUGGAGACGAGUGCUCAUACCGCCUAAAACCUUUAAACACAAGUUUUACGUUUGAAAGAUGCAAUUGCAUCACUCAAAGAUGAUCCCGCGUUGUAUUCGCUAGUUGGUGAGGUAAAGGCUCACCAAGGCGAUGAUACGUAGCCGACCGGAGAGGGGGAUCGGCCACAUUGGGACUGAGACACGGCCCAAACGCCUACGGGAGGCAGCAGUAGGGAAGCUUCGGCAAUGGACGAAAGUCUGACCGAGCAACGCCGCGUGAGUGAAGAAGGUUUUCGGAUCGUAAAACUCUGUUGGUAGAGAAGAACGUUGGUGAGAGUGGAAAGCUCAUCAAGUGACGGUAACUACCCAGAAAGGGACGGCUAACUACGUG